UGGGGAAUUUUGGACAAUGGGCGCAAGCCUGAUCCAGCCAUGCCGCGUGCAGGAUGAAGGCCCUCGGGUUGUAAACUGCUUUUGUACGGAACGAAAAGCCUCUUUCUAAUAAAGAGGGGUGAUGACGGUACCGUAAGAAUAGGCACCGGCUAACUACGUGCCAGCAGCCGCGGUAAUACGUAGGGUGCGAGCGUUAAUCGGAAUUACUGGGCGUAAAGCGUGCGCAGGCGGUCUUGCAAGACAGUGGUGAAAUCCCCGGGCUCAACCUGGGAACUGCCAUUGUGACUGCAAGGCUGGAGUACGGCAGAGGGGGAUGGAAUUCCGCGUGUAGCAGUGAGAUGCGUAGAUAUGCGGAGGAACACCGAUGGCGAAGGCAGUCCCCUGGGCCUGUACUGACGCUCAUGCACGAAAGCGUGGGGAGCAAACA
rnacentral:rRNA from 1 species